UUUAAUCCUCCAACAAAAAAAGAAACCCUCGUCUCUCUCUUUUCCUUUCUUGAUACUUGCGCCUCUGACGCCAGUUCCAACUCUGAAGCACGCCGUGCUACCCUCCCAUCCGGCGUCCGCCUCCAGCACCAACUCCGACGCCGCGCCACUAGCAUUCCGCAGCAAAGGGAAUUGUAUGACACAUCUGGUAACCUUUAUCUGCCUUACUCUGCAAUACGAAAAAAGUUGAUUCUUUCACCUCCAGUCUACUAGAAAUCCACUCCAAGAUGUUAGAAUUAAACAAGAUAGAGGAGCUUGCUUCAACAAUACAGAGACGACAUUGCAUCAGAUCCUAACAGAUUUCUCGCAAACAAUGUUGUAAAUCAAUUUGCUGAAGUAUUGGCUAAAGCUUGGAAUGAAUUGGUGAUCCAAGGAUUGUGAUUAUGUUUGUGGUUCAAGCUGAAGAACGCAACAUGUAUGACCAGCAUUGGCUUUCUGCUUCAUUGAGAGAAAGAUAUCCUACUUUAAAUAAUAGUGUCGCUUGCCCUCCUCGACCUUCUUAGUCUCGACCUACUCAACUUCCAAUAUAUGGUCAACAAAGAGAUUUGAUAGAUGAGUCUUGUAGUGAAGAAGAUGAUGAGGAUCAUGUGGAAAACACACUGCCGCAUUAGUGAAGUUUAUAGUUGUACUAGAUAAUCUAAAUUUCUUAUUUUAUAGUUGUUUUAUGCUACUUAUUAUGUUUUUUGUGAAUGCAUGAUAACUUUGACAUUCUAUUAUAUAACUUAUGACUUUUAUGUUUUGUUCAUUCAAAUUCGAAUAACUUUUAA